rnacentral:rRNA from 1 species
AGUGAACGCUGGCGGUAGGCCUAACACAUGCAAGUCGAACGGCAGCACAGUAAGAGCUUGCUCUUACGGGUGGCGAGUGGCGGACGGGUGAGGAAUACAUCGGAAUCUACUUUUUCGUGGGGGAUAACGUAGGGAAACUUACGCUAAUACCGCAUACGACCUACGGGUGAAAGCAGGGGAUCUUCGGACCUUGCGCGAUUGAAUGAGCCGAUGUCGGAUUAGCUAGUUGGCGGGGUAAAGGCCCACCAAGGCGACGAUCCGUAGCUGGUCUGAGAGGAUGAUCAGCCACACUGGAACUGAGACACGGUCCAGACUUCUACGGGAGGCAGCAGUGGGGAAUAUUGGACAAUGGGCGCAAGCCUGAUCCAGCCAUACCGCGUGGGUGAAGAAGGCCUUCGGGUUGUAAAGCCCUUUUGUUGGGAAAGAAAAGCAGCAGGUUAAUACCCCGCUGUUCUGACGGUACCCAAAGAAUAAGCACCGGCUAACUUCGU